rnacentral:lncRNA from 1 species
CUGCUUUGUGCUGUGGUGAACAUGUACCGGUGUACACGUGUGUAUACGUGUCCUGGUCUGGACAGAACUCUUUCAGGGAGCAGACUCUCUGUUACUGACCUUUAUGCCCCCAUGAGUAGCACGGUGUUUGGUGUGUAGAGUUUCAUUUAGGUGGAUGGUGGGGUAGUCGGGGUAGGUCAGUUGGUAGAUACUAGGAAGGUCGGUGUGACCACUCCUACCUGAUAGGUUGCCUAAAAACAGUUUCUCAGGAUGUCUUGUUCCUGAGGUGUGACAUAAAAAACAUGUUAUGGGUGUAAAAACCCCAUCUUGAUGGUUUUAUGCCUGAUUCCAACUGGUCUGUUUUUCUUUAAACUAGAGGAUGGCUUCCAAACUACAGAACACAUUCUGCCAGCUGUCAGUCCUAACAGCGGUGAUUUUCUUUUUUUUACAGUGUGGCAUACUUCUAGUUUAUAGAGCUAAAUAUUCUGAUGCUAACAGAUGCA